UACGUAGGGUGCGAGCGUUGUCCGGAAUUAUUGGGCGUAAAGAGCUCGUAGGCGGUCUGUCGCGUCGAUCGUGAAAACUUGGGGCUUAACCCUGAGCUUGCGGUCGAUACGGGCAUGACUGGAGUUCGGCAGGGGAGACUGGAAUUCCUGGUGUAGCGGUGAAAUGCGCAGAUAUCAGGAGGAACACCGGUGGCGAAGGCGGGUCGCUGGGCCGAUACUGACGCUGAGGAGCGAAAGCGUGGGGAGCGAACAGG
rnacentral:rRNA from 1 species